GACGAACGCUGGCGGCGUGCUUAACACAUGCAAGUCGAGCGGUAAGGCCCUUUCGGGGGUACGACGAGCGGCGAACGGGUGAGUAACACGUGGGUGACCUGCCCUUAGCUCUGGGAUAAGCCUGGGAAACUGGGUCUAAUACCGGAUAUGACUCCAUGACGCAUGUUGUGGGGUGGAAAGCCUCGUGCGGCUAGGGAUGGGCCCGCGGCCUAUCAGCUUGUUGGUGGGGUGAUGGCCUACCAAGGCGACGACGGGUAGCCGGCCUGAGAGGGCGACCGGCCACACUGGGACUGAGACACGGCCCAGACUCCUACGGGAGGGCAGCAGUGGGGAAUCUUGCGCAAUGCACGACAGUGUGACGCAGCAACGCCGCGUGGGGAAGACGGCC
rnacentral:rRNA from 1 species